CGCUGGCGGCGUGCUUAACACAUGCAAGUCGAACGUCUCCUGCUGGGGGGAUUAGUGGCGAACGGGUGAGUAAACACGUGAGUACUGCCCUUGACUCUGGGAUAAGCCUGGGAAACUGGGUCUAAUACUGGAUAAUCGCAUGGUGGAAACUUUGUGGUUUUGGAUGGACUCGCGGCCUAUCAGCUUGUUGGUGGGGUAAUGGCCUACCAAGGCGACGACGGGUAGCCGGCCUGAGAGGGGGACGGCCACACUGGGCUGAGACACGGCCCAGACUCCUACGGGAGGCAGCAGUGGGGAAUAUUGCACAAUGGGCGCAAGCCUGAUGCAGCGACGCCGCGUGAGGGAUGAAGGCCUUCGGGUUGUAAACCUCUUUCAGUAGGGAAGAACAGUGACGGUACCUGCAGAAGAAGCGCCGGCUAACUACGUGCCAGCAGCCGCGGUAAUACGUAGGGCGCAAGCGUUAUCCGGAAUUAUUGGGCGUAAAGAGCUCGUAGGCGGUUUGUCGCGUCUGCCGUGAAAGUCCGGGGCUUAACCCCGGAUCUGCGGUGGGUACGGGCAGACUUGAGUGAUGUAGGGGAGACUGGAAUUCCUGGUGUAGCGGUGAAAUGCGCAGAUAUCAGGAGGAACACCGAUGGCGAAGGCAGGUCUCUGGGCAUUAACUGACGCUGAGGAGCGAAAGAUGGGGAGCGAACAGGAUUAGAUACCCUGGUAGUCCAUGCCGUAAACGUUGGGCACAAGGUGUGGGGGACUUCCAGUUUUCCGCGCCGUAGCUAACGAUUAAGUGCCCCGCCUGGGGAGUACGGCCGCAAGGCUAAAACUCAAAGGAAUUGACGGGGGCCCGCACAAGCGGCGGAGCAUGCGGAUUAAUUCGAUGCAACGCGAAGAACCUUACCAAGGCUUGACAUGACCGGAACGCGCAGAGAUGUGUCGGCCACUUGGGCCGGUUUACAGGUGGUGCAUGGUUGUCGUCAGCUCGUGUCGUGAGAUGUUGGGUUAAGUCCCGCAACGAGCGCAACCCUCGUUCCAUGUUGCCCGGUCCGGGGACUCAUGGGAGACUGCCGGGGUCAACUCGGAGGAAGGUGGGGACGACGUCAAAUCAUCAUGCCCCUUAUGUCUUGGGCUUCACGCAUGCUACAAUGGCCGGUACAAAGGGUUGCGAUGCUGUGAGGUGGAGCUAAUCCCAAAGCCGGUCUCAGUUCGGAUUGAGGUCUGCAACUCGACCUCAUGAAGUCGGAGUCGCUAGUAAUCGCAGAUCAGAACGCUGCGGUGAAUACGUUCCCGGGCCUGUACACACCUGA
rnacentral:rRNA from 1 species